GAUGAACGCUAGCUACAGGCUUAACACAUGCAAGUCGAGGGGUAACAAGAGAAAAGCUUGCUUUUCUUGUUGACGACCGGCGCACGGGUGAGUAACGCGUAUCCAACCUGCCUAUAACUAGGGAAUAACCUUGCGAAAGUAAGACUAAUACCCUAUGAUUUCCUUUGAUGACAUCAGAUUAGGAAUAAAGAUUUAUCGGUUAUAGAUGGGGAUGCGUCUGAUUAGCUUGUUGGCGGGGUAACGGCCCACCAAGGCAACGAUCAGUAGGGGUUCUGAGAGGAAGGUCCCCCACAUUGGAAAUGAGACACGGUCCAAACUCCUACGGGAGGCAGCAGUGAGGAAUAUUGGUCAAUGGGCGGAAGCCUGAACCAGUCAAGUAGCGUGCAGGAUGACGGCCCUAUGGGUUGUAAACUGCUUUUAUACAGGAAUAAAGUUAGCCACGUGUGGUUAUUUGUAGGUACUGUAUGAAUAAGGACCGGCUAAUUCCGUGCCAGCCGCCGCAGUAA
rnacentral:rRNA from 1 species